rnacentral:rRNA from 1 species
GCGAUUCGCCCUUCGGGGUGCCCAGGCGCGAAAACUUUGCAAUACACGAAAGUGUGACAGGGUCAUCCCGAGUGCCGACCGCUGAGGUUGGCUUUUACCCAGUCUAUAAAGCUGGGGGAAUAAGGAGAGGGCAAGUCUGGUGUCAGCCGCCGCGGUAAUACCAGCUCUCCGAGUGGUGUGGACGUUUAUUGGGCCUAAAGCAUCCGUAGCUGGCUGAACAAGUCCCCUGUUAAACCCACCGAUUUAAUCGUUGGUCUGCGGGGGAUACUGCUCGGCUAGGGGACGAGAGAGGCAGACGGUAUUCCCGGGGUAGGGGUGAAAUCCUAUAAUCCCGAGAAGACCACCAGUGGCGAAGGCUGUCUGCUAGAACGCGCCCGACGGUGAGGGAUGAAAGCUGGGGGAGCGAACCGGAUUAGAUACCCGGGUAGUCCCAGCUGUAAACGAUGCAGACUAGGUGUUUGGACGGCCACGUGCCGUUCUAGUGCCGCAGGGAAGCUGUUAAGUCUGCCGCCUGGGGAGUACGAUCGCAAGAUUGAAACUUAAAGGAAUUGGCGGGGGAGCAC